GGAGAUGUAGAGCUCAGGGGUACAGCAUGUGCUUAGCAUGCAUGAGGUCCUGGGUUCAAUCCCCAGUGCCUCCA
rfam:Camelus ferus unplaced genomic scaffold scaffold294, whole genome shotgun sequence.